rnacentral:lncRNA from 1 species
UAUAAAUGCUGUCAUGCUACCUUUGUCUAUUUACUAGCAAAUGUUGGUUUGGAAGUACUCGCCAUACUUCCAUUGGCUUUUAAAUUAAGCAUGGUGCUUAGGUUAAGCAGCCUUCCUUAAUCUGAUUAGACAUGGAGUCUAGUUUGGUUAUUGAACUAAAAAAACUGCUUGAGUAGAUAUUGGUAUAUUUUGUCGGACUAACCCCUGCAGAAAAACUUUCAAUAUCAAUUUGGGAAGUCCUGAGAUAAACUCACAUCAGAGACGAAGAGAGUGACACAUGAUGUUUAACAAUUUGCACAAGAAGGACAUAGCUCAUUCAUCAUAGAGAGAUGAUCCAUGGAGGGUGCCACAACCACGAUGCACAACCGCUAAGAAGGGAAAGCUUCUACAAGGUGAUACUGUACCAUCACUCUUCAAGCAAGGUAACAUCUUAUGGUACUUGACUAUCACUUUUAUAAGCUUCUCCUUGGUUCAUACAAACAUGUAUGAUUUACAACUCUAGAUUAACCAACCUAACUGAGUCAACAUGUUUAGUCCUUUAAUCCUUGUUCUUAGUACUACUUCCAUGAUCCCACACUCCUAAUCAUAUGAGCUAAAAUGUUACACAUUCAAUCAUUGAGAGAUAUAAAGAAAAAGACAUAUACAUAGAUAGAUUAUCUUUCCAUAAGGUUGAGCGAUCUGAUCUGACAAAUGUUAUAAGUGCUACACUCAUGAACUUAUCAUCCAUCAACUUGUCUUGCUCACUAUGCUUAAGGUUAGAGAAGAACAAAUACACUUUUGGUUCUGUUGGUGUUUUCCACCAACAGGGCCCAUGCACUUGACCUCUGCCUUGUCUCUAUGAGCAGGUACACUACGAGCACAAACACACUAAGCAAGAUACUGCUAACACCUCACUUCGAACUGCUGGGCAAACGAAGAACAUGGGUGACACCGUAUUAAAAGGUGCAGACGUCAAGGUCCGCACCUGAAUCAAAUGACGCACCUGAAGAAUGAACAUGGUGAGAAGUCUUGUCAAGAAGACUUAAAACAUUGAACCCUCGCCGAAAGGUAAGAUUGGUAGUUAUCCAUAUUUAUCCUUUCUGCAUUCUCGUUUCCCUUUAAUUAUUUACUUUCCUUAAAUAGAUUAUUAGUUAAUCAUGCUAUCUUGAAAAGAAAAUAAAAAUGUUAAAAAAUACUAAGCCCCAUGUGAGUAUACGAGUGGCAUAAAACCAUAAGUACCUUCACUGUGGUAGCAUAAAAAUAAAAUAAAUAUUUCUUUUCUACUUUAUAAAAUAAAAAUAUAAAAACAGGGAGUAAUAUUUAUUGAGGAAGCUCAACGUGAUGAAGGCUAAAUUUUAUGCUAACACUUAAUUAGUUCCACAAGCUUUGUUGUCUAUUUGAGCUCCACAGAAUUUAAGAAUCAAGAACACUAGCAGACGGAGGACAUUCUAAUCGCUGUCAGAAUGCUGCUGACUUUCAAAUACACCUCUGCCACCUGCUAGCUACAUCAAGAGAAAUUACGUCAAAAUUCAGCUUGGGGGAGAGCACCCCCAUUUAUCUCGCUAAGUAUUUCUACCUAUCUUUAUACUUAUAUUAUAUUAGAAUAUUAAAAUACAUAAACUAUGAAAAACCAAAUAAAGAUUUUGUGCUUAUAUAUAUAUCUUUUGCUUAGUGUGUUUAAUAAAUAAAUAAAGUGGCUAUGCUAAUCUGAAUCUUAAUAAUAAAACUCUAGCAUGGAUAUGAUGAAUAGUUGCUCUGCCAAAUUUGCAAAUUUGAAGUUCUCUCUCAAGUUUAGACAUAACUGUUAUAAUUUAAAGCUUGCUCUAGAUCUAAACUUGUGGGAUGAAAACUUGAUCUGAAAUCUAAGUUGUUAACGGAUAUGAUAUGGGAAGGUUGAGCUGCUGUUUAUCUAUUCCUAGAGAUGCUAGAAUUAUGGAGAAUUUUAUCUUUGAAAAAUCUUUAAAAUGUUGCAUGAUGAGUUCCUGUAUGAUGAAAGUUUAAAUUCCUACCACAGCCAUAUAUACAUGCUUGCUAGACUUUGAGCCACACAUUUAUUAUUUACUGCUUAUGAGCAUUGAGUGUGGUCAAGCUGUGUAGACCCUUAGGAGCUUGUCAUGUGGUUAAAUCAAGAUUCACUUGCACGUUCACUCAUAUAUAUGCUACUUCUACUCCGGAAGUACCAUCCACAUAUAUCCAUCCAUUUCCAUCUCCAGAAUCACCUAAAAAUAUUCUACUCCUAAUUCGGGAGAGAAUAGCCAAAAACAUCUGUGUUUUUCCCUUGUGAAAUAAAUGCUCAAGUUAUCUUGCUACUACCACUUGCUAUAUUAUCUCAAGAGAUGAGUGCUCUAAAAAAAAGAAGAAGAAAAAAAAAAGAAAAGAAAAAAAUAAACGAGGAAAUAAAAAGGGGCAAGUGCCCGGAACCUCGAAAGAAAAGAAAAAGAGUGAGACGAGAGGUAAAAAUGGACAAGUGUCCGACAGUAGAAUUAGGGGUACAGGAUACCCAUCUGAGAGAAAAGAAAAAGAAGAGCAUCUCAUUCUCCUCAUAAAGUUUCAAAAAGCAAGGAAGGUAUGUAUCCCCUCAUAAGAGCAAAAGUAGAAUUAGACUUUCACCAUUGUUAUCACCAUCAUCACCAUACACCAUUCAUUCACCACACAUGCACAUCUUGAUUUGGCUUAUUGAUUAGUUUCUUUGGAUCCAUGGUUUGACUAUACAAUAAAUGUCUUGUAAGUAUGUAUAUUUUAUCUCCCACCUAUGAGCUCCAGAUAUUAAAGCCUUAUUAGAGUAGGGUGAGAGAGAAGACAAUGUCACUAUCCCUUAUACCACAAAUACCACAUAUUUUGAGAGAAGGCAUAUACCAUCACUGCCUUGGUAAGGAUCCAGAAAUACCACAAAAGAGAGAUAUGAGAGAGUCAUACAAAGGAAUCUCUGAGUUUUAUUUGAAAAUCUGCAAAAACUCCAGAGCUAUAGCUGAUCAAGAAUAAGCGACAUGACACUUGACUGGACUGUUCUAUCUUUUAACCACUCAAGACAGAAGUGACGGUUACAAGUCCCAUGGUGAAAGGUAAAGUAAGUAAGUUUCAAGUCUUGACAGUUUACUCUAACUCAGAGAUGAGACCUCAUUUAAAAGCAUGUGUACC